rnacentral:tRNA from 1 species
GCGGGCGUGGCGGAAUGGUAGACGCAUGGGACUUAAACUCCCUGGGCCCAACGGCCGUGCGGGUUCAAGUCCCGCCGCCCGCA